GUGAGUCAUCGAAUCUUUGAACGCAACUUGCGCCCCCCGGGCAUGUCUGCCUGAGUGUCGCAUAAACGUAUUGCUGAUUGAUGGUGAUUGCUCAUUGGUCGAUUGCUGAUCGAUCAGUGAUGAAUUGGGACAUGGUCGCACUGCCUGAAAUGGAGCAAGAGGAGGGGCGCGUGCUCCUGGCUGCGUGCUAUAAACCAAUGCGUAGUGGUUGAGACCAAUGCGUAGUGGCUGAGGUUUGGUCGCACGGGACUCGCAUCCAUCCAACUCGAUUUCACUCUCUGACCUCAGGUCAGGCAGACUACCCGCUGAACUUAAGCAUAUCAAUAACGCGGAGG
rnacentral:rRNA from 1 species